rnacentral:rRNA from 1 species
CUUGGUCAUUUAGAGGAAGUAAAAGUCGUAACAAGGUCUCCGUUGGUGAACCAGCGGAGGGAUCAUUACCGAGUUUACAACUCCCAAACCCCUGUGAACAUACCACUUGUUGCCUCGGCGGAUCAGCCCGCUCCCGGUAAAACGGGACGGCCCGCCAGAGGACCCCUAAACUCUGUUUUUAGUGUAACUUCUGAGUAAAACCAUAAAUAAAUCAAAACUUUCAACAACGGAUCUCUUGGUUCUGGCAUCGAUAAAGAACGCAGCGAAAUGCGAUAAGUAAUGUGAAUUGCAGAAUUCAGUGAAUCAUCGAAUCUUUGAACGCACAUUGCGCCCGCUAGUAUUCUGGCGGGCAUGCCUGUUCGAGCGUCAUUUCAACCAUCAAGCCCUAGGCUUGUGUUGGAGCCCUGCGGCUGCCGCAGCCUCCUAAAAACAGUGGCGGGCUCGCUAUUACACCGAGUGCAGUAGUUUACUCUUCGCUCAGGGCGUGUGGCGGGUGCUGGCCGUGAAACCCCCUACUUCUUAAGGUUGACCUCGGAUCAGGUAGGAAUACCCGCUGAACUUAAGCAUAUCAAUAAGCGGAGGA